rnacentral:rRNA from 1 species
UACGUAGGGUGCGAGCGUUAAUCGGAAUUACUGGGCGUAAAGCGUGCGCAGGCGGUCUGUUAAGACCGAUGUGAAAUCCCCGGGCUUAACCUGGGAACUGCAUUGGUGACUGGCAGGCUUUGAGUAUGGCAGAGGGGGGGUAGAAUUCCACGUGUAGCAGUGAAAUGCGUAGAGAUGUGGAGGAAUACCGAUGGCGAAGGCAGCCCCCUGGGCCAAUACUGACGCUCAUGCACGAAAGCGUGGGGAGCAAAC